rnacentral:lncRNA from 1 species
GGCCAACAUCAUUUUUACAGAUAGAAAUAGGUGACACUUUCCUUUAGAUCAACGAGACGAGUUGAUGUGCAACAUCUGUAUAGUGAUUAUGAGAUGAGUCAUCAUAUCAUAAAGUUAAAAAUUUGUGGAGUUACAAAAUAAAUUUCUGCAAUCAAUUUAGAAAAUACAGUUAACCUGAUCCUUCUACGUGUAUGUUCACAAAUAUAAUCUUAUUCAUAAAUAAAUGGAUGGAACUUAGCUUAUUGUUGGAGGAUUCAAAUUCAAACAAAGCAACUUGAAAAUGAACUGCUAAAAAAUGUGACGUUAUAUUAUUUCUGCAAAUGGUAACAUGCCAACUGUACUAUUAUUUAACAGACUUACUGAGAGACAGGCAUCAAUCUUCCACAAAUAAAGACAUACUGUAGUAC